UGAGACUGUCAUUACUGUACCUCCUCUCUGGGUUGAAGGUAGGGUGAGACUGUCAUUACUGUACCUCCUCUCUGGGUUGAAGGUAGGGUGAGACUAAGGAGUUAUAGUUAUUUUGCUGUAGUCUUCAGUACUGAAGUCACUCAGUUGUUCUAUUAGCUGUAGUGAGAUCUGUAAACGUGUCCGUUUGUCUGAGGUAAGAUACAUGACCUAAAAACACUAUCGAUCAAUCGUACAUUUUCAUAAAAUGUAAAGUGUGUAUGUAUAUAUAUUCAUUGGAUGGUUUGUACUGAAGAUCUGACCAACAGUGGCUGGUUGCUGUGAUUGUGGUUCACUGUCACUCAUUUUAAUUUGUUGUCUCUGUGUGAAGUCUGGAAGGAAUUCCUCGGGUUUGUUAGACAGAGUCUUACAACACGGUUAACCUGUACUGGCUAAUAAAAUAAUGUC